GACGAACGCUGGCGGCGUGCCUAAUACAUGCAAGUCGAACGAACUCUGGUAUUGAUUGGUGCUUGCAUCAUGAUUUACAUUUGAGUGAGUGGCGAACUGGUGAGUAACACGUGGGAAACCUGCCCAGAAGCGGGGGAUAACACCUGGAAACAGAUGCUAAUACCGCAUAACAACUUGGACCGCAUGGUCCGAGUUUGAAAGAUGGCUUCGGCUAUCACUUUUGGAUGGUCCUGCGGCGUAUUAGCUAGAUGGUGAGGUAACGGCUCACCAUGGCAAUGAUACGUAGCCGACCUGAGAGGGUAAUCGGCCACAUUGGGACUGAGACACGGCCCAAACUCCUACGGGAGGCAGCAGUAGGGAAUCUUCCACAAUGGACGAAAGUCUGAUGGAGCAACGCCGCGUGAGUGAAGAAGGGUUUCGGCUCGUAAAACUCUGUUGUUAAAGAAGAACAUAUCUGAGAGUAACUGUUCAGGUAUUGACGGUAUUUAACCAGAAAGCCACGGCUAACUACGUGCCAGCAGCCGCGGUAAUACGUAGGUGGCAAGCGUUGUCCGGAUUUAUUGGGCGUAAAGCGAGCGCAGGCGGUUUUUUAAGUCUGAUGUGAAAGCCUUCGGCUCAACCGAAGAAGUGCAUCGGAAACUGGGAAACUUGAGUGCAGAAGAGGACAGUGGAACUCCAUGUGUAGCGGUGAAAUGCGUAGAUAUAUGGAAGAACACCAGUGGCGAAGGCGGCUGUCUGGUCUGUAACUGACGCUGAGGCUCGAAAGUAUGGGUAGCAAACAGGAUUAGAUACCCUGGUAGUCCAUACCGUAAACGAUGAAUGCUAAGUGUUGGAGGGUUUCCGCCCUUCAGUGCUGCAGCUAACGCAUUAAGCAUUCCGCCUGGGGAGUACGGCCGCAAGGCUGAAACUCAAAGGAAUUGACGGGGGCCCGCACAAGCGGUGGAGCAUGUGGUUUAAUUCGAAGCUACGCGAAGAACCUUACCAGGUCUUGACAUACUAUGCAAAUCUAAGAGAUUAGACGUUCCCUUCGGGGACAUGGAUACAGGUGGUGCAUGGUUGUCGUCAGCUCGUGUCGUGAGAUGUUGGGUUAAGUCCCGCAACGAGCGCAACCCUUAUUAUCAGUUGCCAGCAUUAAGUUGGGCACUCUGGUGAGACUGCCGGUGACAAACCGGAGGAAGGUGGGGAUGACGUCAAAUCAUCAUGCCCCUUAUGACCUGGGCUACACACGUGCUACAAUGGAUGGUACAACGAGUUGCGAACUCGCGAGAGUAAGCUAAUCUCUUAAAGCCAUUCUCAGUUCGGAUUGUAGGCUGCAACUCGCCUACAUGAAGUCGGAAUCGCUAGUAAUCGCGGAUCAGCAUGCCGCGGUGAAUACGUUCCCGGGCCUUGUACACACCGCCCGUCACACCAUGAGAGUUUGUAACACCCAAAGUCGGUGGGGUAACCUUUUAGGAACCAGCCGCCUAAGGUGGGACAGAUGAUUAGGGUG
rnacentral:rRNA from 1 species